rnacentral:lncRNA from 1 species
CUGGGAUGUGGACAAUCAGAAUCUAUCCCCACUGUUGUGUGAAGCCAUUCUAUGUUGCUCCUUCGCUGAGCUGCAGUAGCCAGCAAACAGCAAGUCAAACCCACUGUCCAGGAGGAGACCAAUGGGCAGAGCAUCAAUUCACUGAGAAGCAAAGGAACAUUCACCUUAUAAAUUCGGAAGCCAGCUUAAACAAUAACGAGAAGAGGAAUCCAAAUACAGAGGGGAAAGGAUGCUGUUAUGAUGGAGUUCAGGGAUGCCUCGUGAGAUGUACAAUAGGGU